GACGAACGCUGGCGGUGCGCCUAACACAUGCAAGUCGAACGGUGAACCGGGCUUCGGCCCGGGGAUCAGUGGCGAACGGGUGCGUAACACGUGGGCAACCUGCCCCCGACCCUGGGAUAACCCCGGGAAACCGGAGCUAAUACCGGAUACUCUCCUCCGACCACAUGGUCAGAAGAGGAAAGGUCCGCCGGUCGGGGAUGGGCCCGCGGCCUAUCAGCUUGUUGGUGGGGUAACGGCCUACCAAGGCGACGACGGGUAGCUGGUCUGAGAGGACGACCAGCCACACUGGGACUGAGACACGGCCCAGACUCCUACGGGAGGCAGCAGUGGGGAAUCUUGCGCAAUGGGCGAAAGCCUGACGCAGCGACACCGCGUGGGGGAUGAAGGCCUUUCAGGUCGUAAACCCCUUUCGGCAGGGACGAAGCGAUCUCGUGACGGUACCUGCAGAAGAAGCCUCGGCUAACUACGUGCCAGCAGCCGCGGU
rnacentral:rRNA from 1 species